rnacentral:ncRNA from 1 species
UUAUUUGAGAGUUUGAUCCUGGCUCAGGAUGAACGCUGGCGGCGUGCUUAACACAUGCAAGUCGAACGGAGCUUAGAAGGAAGCUUGCUUUCAUUUAAGCUUAGUGGCGGACGGGUGAGUAACGCGUGA